rnacentral:rRNA from 1 species
CACGUAGUUAGCCGGGGCUUCUUAGUCAGGUACCGUCAUUAUCUUUCCUGCUGAUAGAGCUUUACAUACCGAGAUACUUCUUCACUCACGCGGCGUCGCUGCAUCAGGGUUUCCCCCAUUGUGCAAUAUUCCCCACUGCUGCCUCCCGUAGGAGUCUGGGCCGUGUCUCAGUCCCAAUGUGGCCGUUCACUCUCUCAGGCCGGCUACUGAUCGUCGCUUUGGUGGGCCGUUACCCCGCCAACUGGCUAAUCAGACGCGGAUCCAUCGUAUACCACCGGAGUUUUUCACACCGCUCCAUGCGGAGCUGUGCGCUCAUGCGGUAUUAGCACCUAUUCUAAGUGUUAUCCCCCGGUAUACGGCAGGUUAUCCACGCGUUACUCACCCGUCCGCCACUAACCUGUAUAUCACUAGGUUUCAAUACAGAUCCGUUCGACUUGCAUGUGUUAGGCACGCCGCAGCGUUCAUCCUGACGCCAGGACUACAAACUCUCUACG